UCUUAUCUAGAGAGGUGGAGGGACUGGCCCUAUGAAGCCCAGCAACCGCAACUUAUGAACGGUGCUAAUUCCAGCAGUAAAAUAUACUGAAAGAUGAGA
rnacentral:ncRNA from 1 species